GUGGCGCUUGCUCCCUCACGCCGCGCGGGCGGCGCCAUCUUGGGGCGGUGUUGUCCUUGAGGGCGGCCGGGCCCGAGCGGGGCGGCGGCUCCUCCGCGGCUGAUCCGGCGGGGCUGGAACGGCUCACGGCCGCCCCCCAGCCCGGCCAGGGCUGCCAGCACCUCCAGCACCCCCAGCACCCAGCCACCGUGUCGCCCCUGGGGGCACAUGCAUGGGGGUCCCGAGCUCCACAGCUUCCCUGGGCUCCUCCCUGAGGGGUCUGACCCAGUCCAGUGAUCAUCCAAUCCAACCAUCAGUGCAGCCCUGCCAGGCCAAACAAAUCAUGAACAAGCUGCCAGCUCCCACGAGCCACGCCCUGACGGUUUUGGAGCCCUUCAGGGACGGUGACUCCAGCGCUGCCUGUCACAGUGCUUGCCUGUGGGAACCCAGCACAUCCCUCUGGCUUGCCCUGGCUGGCUCCAGACCCUGGCAGGAGCUCGCAGACAUUGGCAAAAAGAUUCCAGACUUUUUAUCCAGAGGUAGGUGUGGAUUUAGUGAACCUGACAUUUUCCUCAGCCACCUCAAACCAGCCGCUUUUCAAGCAGGAUUUUUACUUCAUGAAAGGAAAA